rnacentral:rRNA from 1 species
AUUGAACGCUGGCGGAAUGCUUUACACAUGCAAGUCGAGCGGCAGCGCGGGGGGCAACCCUGGCGGCGAGCGGCGAACGGGUGAGUAACAUAUCGGAACGUACCCCGUCGUGGGGGAUAACACAGCGAAAGCUGUGCUAAUACCGCAUACGACCUGAGGGUGAAAGCGGGGGAUCGCAAGACCUCGCGCGAUGGGAGCGGCCGAUAUCGGAUUAGCUUGUUGGUGAGGUAAAGGCUCACCAAGGCGACGAUCCGUAGCUGGUCUGAGAGGACGACCAGCCACACUGGAACUGAGACACGGUCCAGACUCCUACGGGAGGCAGCAGUGGGGAAUUUUGGACAAUGGGGGCAACCCUGAUCCAGCCAUUCCGCGUGAGUGAAGAAGG